AAGGAACUGAAGAAUAACGGAGUUGAGAUGAAGUUUCUUACAGGGCAAAGUUUUCAGAUAUGUCAAUGCUGUCACAUACUUGAUGAGACCAGGAAAUUUUGCAAGGCUAAUGGCAUGAAGACGCUGUUGCGAUGAAGCCAAGAACAGCCAGAGCUUGAUACAAAUUGGAGUCCCUUGGAAAGAGGUAACCUCAGUUGUGUAAUUGCCCUCAGAAGACUGGCCUGUGUUCAGAUCUGUGGAGGCAUUUCCUGAUGAAUGAUUGAUGUCAGAGGGUCCAGCCAACUGUGGGCAGUCCCAGCCCUGGGCAAGUGACUGCAUUGAAGAAGAAAGCUGAACGAGUUACGGAAAGCCAGUCAUUGAGUAGUGUUCCUUUGUGUUUUCAACUUCAGUUCUGGCUUCCAUAUUGUUUUCCUGGCUUCUCUGCAUGAUGGGCUGCAAUCUGCAAGUCAAAUUAACCCUUUCUUCCU